rfam:Gossypium hirsutum cultivar TM-1 chromosome 17, whole genome shotgun sequence
UUCAAGGAAGCGCUUUGUCCACGUGGACACAAAGCGCGCCAUCAAAGAAGCGUUUUCUAUCCACGUGGACAAAGCGCUUCCUUGAGG